AAGUCGUAACAAGGUCUCCGUUGGUGAACCAGCGGAGGGAUCAUUACCGAGUUUACAACUCCCAAACCCCUGUGAACAUACCUUAAUGUUGCCUCGGCGGAUCAGCCCGCGCCCCGUAAAACGGGACGGCCCGCCAGAGGACCCAAACUCUAAUGUUUCUUAUUGUAACUUCUGAGUAAAACAAACAAAUAAAUCAAAACUUUCAACAACGGAUCUCUUGGUUCUGGCAUCGAUGAAGAACGCAGCAAAAUGCGAUAAGUAAUGUGAAUUGCAGAAUUCAGUGAAUCAUCGAAUCUUUGAACGCACAUUGCGCCCGCUGGUAUUCCGGCGGGCAUGCCUGUUCGAGCGUCAUUUCAACCCUCAAGCCCCCGGGUUUGGUGUUGGGGAUCGGCUCUGCCCUUCUGGGCGGUGCCGCCCCCGAAAUACAUUGGCGGUCUCGCUGCAGCCUCCAUUGCGUAGUAGCUAACACCUCGCAACUGGAACGCGGCGCGGCCAUGCCGUAAAACCCCAAACUUCUGAAUGUUGACCUCGGAUCAGGUAGGAAUACCCGCUGAACUUAA
rnacentral:misc_RNA from 1 species